rnacentral:rRNA from 1 species
AGUCAUAUGCUUGUCUCAAAGAUUAAGCCAUGCAUGUCUCAGUACAAGCCGCAUUAAGGUGAAACCGCGAAAGGCUCAUUAAAUCAGUUAUGGUUCCUUAGAUCGUACCCACAUUUACUUGGAUAACUGUGGUAAUUCUAGAGCUAAUACAUGCAAACAGAGUCCCGACCGGAGACGGAAGGGAUGCUUUUAUUAGAUCAAAACCAAUCGGCGGCGGGUGCGUUCGCGCGCUCCCGUUCGCCGCUCAACUUGGUGACUCUGAAUAACUUUCGGCUGAUCGCACGGUCCAGCACCGGCGACGCAUCUUUCAAAUGUCUGCCUUAUCAACUGUCGAUGGUAGGUUCUGCGCCUACCAUGGUCGUAACGGGUAACGGGGAAUCAGGGUUCGAUUCCGGAGAGGGAGCCUGAGAAACGGCUACCACAUCCAAGGAAGGCAGCAGGCGCGCAAAUUACCCACUCCCGGCACGGGGAGGUAGUGACGAAAAAUAACGAUACGGGACUCAUCCGAGGCCCCGUAAUCGGAAUGAGUACACUUUAAAUCCUUUAACGAGGAUCAAUUGGAGGGCAAGUCUGGUGCCAGCAGCCGCGGUAAUUCCAGCUCCAAUAGCGUAU